UACGGAGGGGGCAAGCGUUGUCCGGAUUCAUUGGGCGUAAAGCGCGUGUAGGCGGUUCGGCAGGUCCGAUGUGAAAACUCGUUGGCUCAACCUCGAUACGUCAUUGGAAACCGCCGGGCUAGAGUCCGGGAGAGGAGAGUGGAAUUCCUGGUGUAGCGGUGAAAUGCGCAGAUAUCAGGAAGAACACCAAUGGCGAAGGCAGCUCUCUGGAACGGUACUGACGCUGAGACGCGAAAGCGUGGGGAGCGAACAGG
rnacentral:rRNA from 1 species